AAUUUACUUUAUUAUCCGCCAGAAUACUACAAGCGCUAGCUUAAAAUCCAAAGGACUUGGCGGUGCUUCAGACCCACCUAGAGGAGCCUGUUCUGCAACCGAUAAUCCCCGUUAAACCCCACCACCUCUUGCCAUUACCGCCUAUAUACCGCCGUCGUCAGCUCACCCUAUGAAGGAUUAAAGAGUAAGCAAAAAGAAUUAAAAUCCCACACGUCAGGUCGAGGUGUAGCGAAUGAGGUGGAAAGAAAUGGGCUACAUUUUCUAUUAAGAAAACACGGACAGUAAACUGAAAAAUUACUCCAAGGUGGAUUUAGCAGUAAGAAGAAAUAAGAAUAUUCUACUGAAGCCGGCUCUGAAGCGCGCACACACCGCCCGUCACUCUCCUCGCCAUAAACAUUACCAUUAUAUAAAAAAAUUUUAUUGAAAAGAGGAGGCAAGUCGUAACAUGGUAAGUGUACUGGAAAGUGCACUUGGAAU
rnacentral:rRNA from 1 species